UACAGAGGGGGCAAGCGUUGUUCGGAAUUACUGGGCGUAAAGGGCGCGUAGGCGGCCUGCUAAGUCGAACGUGAAAUCCCUGGGCUCAACCCAGGAACUGCGUCCGAUACUGGUUGGCUUGAAUUCGGGAGAGGGAUGUGGAAUUCCAGGUGUAGCGGUGAAAUUCGUAGAUAUCAAGCGGAACACCGGUGGCGAAGGCGGCCUUCUGGACAGUGACUGACGCUGAGACGCGAAAGCGUGGGGAGCAAACAGG
rnacentral:rRNA from 1 species